rnacentral:rRNA from 1 species
GACAGAGGAUGCAAGCGUUUAUCCGGAAUGAUUGGGCGUAAAGCGUCUGUAGGUGGCUUUUUAAGUCCGCCGUCAAAUCCCAGGGCUCAACCCUGGACAGGCGGUGGAAACUACCAAGCUGGAGUACGGUAGGGGCAGAGGGAAUUUCCGGUGGAGCGGUGAAAUGCGUAGAUAUCGGAAGGAACAUCGGUGGCGAAAGCGGCGCGCUGGACCUCUUCUGACGCUGAGGCGCGAAAGCCAGGGGAGCAAACGGG